UAAAAUUCCAUCCCCCGCAGCCCCACUUUCAGUUGUCCUAACUCCCAGAUUGCUUCCAGCUUGACCAAGCUCGGGCUGGCAAGCCCUCGAUCGAGGGACCCAGCGCCCAAUGCUUUCCUGGAGCGGAGGUAUUUUAUGCCUUAAGCUGAUCAGCAUUGGGGAAGAUGAAGCACGCAAACUGCCUUGAAAUAUUUAUGAAGCUAUUUUAGCAAAAGGAGCAGAAGAAAAGAUACACACAAACCACAUACCCCAACCGAUGAGGAACAGGAUUCAGGGGCAUGAUCGUCUUGGUGUCAGCUAGAGUCCAAGCAGGAGACAGAAACCACACGGAUGCAAACGGUGAUUGAUGGCAACUGAAACCGUAGGAGGCUUGGGGGAAUGUAGCUAUGGAACAGUUCAUGUCCUACUGCUCAACAAAUCUGGCUGCUCACUGUCAUAAUAAUGAAGAAUGGGAAGAAAUCCACAUGCCCUCCAAAAUUAAAAGAAAGGAAAAACAACUGAAAAGCCAAGAUUCCAUGUAACCGCCGUAUGAAUCCUGUUGCAGGAAAAUGUCCCAUGGCUCCAGCAAACACUUCCCCUUUAAUUUUAAGUUAAAAAUUUGUCCACUUACAUACACAUUCACAUAUGAACAAACAUUUGAAGAUCUUAUACCAAGUAUUAAUGAUGCUUGUGGUGAGGUGAUAGGCUACAGCAAAUGUAAUGACAUGGGGAAAUAUAUAUAUAUAUAAAUGUUAUAUGAAGAAAAACACAAAUUUAGGAAUGACUAUAAUACAAUCACAUUUUAACUUUGUUUAGAAUUAUGUAUUAUGAUUUUAUUUAAAAACAGAAUUAAAAGUAGGUAUGUUACUACUAUCCAGAGUAUAAUCUUAAGAAAGGCAAAAAAUUAUAUAAAUUAAUGCAUCUUUUUUUAAAAAAGCACAGAACGAGGAAUAAAAGGAGUGAAUAAAAGAAUGACACCCAGAGCCCAGGCUGGGUCAUGAAAGUUAGGUUGGUUUUUGUUUCCUCUUUUAUGUUCCUCUUUAUGCUUCCAGGGCUCUUCAAUGAAUAGCUAUUACUUUUAUAAUAAAAAAUAUUGUUAAAAAUGGUUUUUGCAUUCACUUCUUUAUAAACAAAAUGAAAUAGCCUGGGAAAGGAUGCAGGAAACAUUUGCAUAAUCGUGGGAAAUAAAUUCUACUGUUCAUGUGUUUACAGAUUUCCUUUUCUUCAAAUAAAUAUUAUA